rnacentral:lncRNA from 1 species
GAGAUAGGAUUUGCAAUAUGUGCUAGCAUGUUCAUCUUGCAAAUAUGAUCUAAUCCAAUUAAACUCUUGAUCAAUUUUCUUUAUGUGUGACCCAUUAGGUUCCACAUCUAGUCAGUAGUAGGUUCGGAUGUAAGUUGAUCAGAUUUGAUUAGAAUCCGAUCUAACCGAUUUAAGUCCAAUCGAGCUAAUCCGAUUUUAGCAAUUAGAAUUCUUUCUAAUUAGUGAUCGAAUUAAACUCUUUAAUUCGAUCAAAUCUACAAGACAAGAUUGUCGUCUAGUAACGUAUCAUGUCUAUCCGGAAGAUAUGAAAUUUUGCUGAAAAUAUCAAAAGUAUCCUUCAGUGGUGAGUUACCAUGUAAUUCGAUUCUAUGAUCAUCCUACAUCUUGAAUAUGACUAUGGAUAUGGAAACAUAUCAAAUCCAAUAUCAUAUUCAUAUUUCUCUUAAUCUUAU